AACGAACGCUGGCGGCAGGCUUAACACAUGCAAGUCGAACGCCCCGCAAGGGGAGUGGCAGACGGGUGAGUAACGCGUGGGAAUCUACCUAGUUCUACGGAACAACUGAGGGAAACUUCAGCUAACACCGUAUACGCCCUACGGGGGAAAGAUUUAUCGGAAUUAGAUGAGCCCGCGUAAGAUUAGCUAGUUGGGGGGGUAAUGGCCUACCAAGGCGACGAUCUUUAGCUGGUCUGAGAGGAUGAUCAGCCACACUGGGACUGAGACACGGCCCAGACUCCUACGGGAGGCAGCAGUGGGGAAUAUUGGACAAUGGGCGCAAGCCUGAUCCAGCCAUGCCGCGUGAAUGAUGAAGGUCUUAGGAUUGUAAAAUUCUUUCACCGGGGACGAUAAUGACGGUACCGGGAGAAUAAGCCCCGGCUAACUCCGUGCCAGCCGCCGCGGUAACAC
rnacentral:rRNA from 1 species